rnacentral:rRNA from 1 species
CAGUAGAGAAUAUUGUGCAAUAUACGGCAGUAUGACACAGAGAGCACACGCCCUCUUGGCCUGUCCAACUAAGUGCCAGCAGACGCGGUUAGACUUAGGGGCCAAGCCUUUAUGAGCAAAGGGGCGUAAAGGGUGUGUAGGCCGACCGCCCCACCCCCCCCAAGGUGGUAAAUGGAAUUUUUCUGUAGCGGUAGAAUGUGCGGAUAGAAAAUAGAACCCCAAAAGCUGAAGCAAUUUACCGCGGGGCGGGAGGGGGGGCCCCCUGGGGCGCCCCCCCGGGCUACGGGCUGAAACACGAGGGUGUGGGGAACAAACAGGAUUAGAGACCCUGGUAGUCCACACUGUAAACGAUGGAGAAAAUGCGAAUGCAGCCCCGAAAGGCAGCAAUCUCCCGCCUGAGUAGUACGAUCGCAAGAUUAAAAUUCCAAAAAUUUGGCUGUUCACCGUUUCGAUUAGAGGAGCGUGUAGUUUAAUUCGAUAAACCGCGAGAUACCUUACCCAAACUUGAAUCCUUGAGGAUUCCAAGGAAUCCUUAUGGACCGGUAUUGCAUGGCCGUCGUCAGUUCGUGUAUGAAACCUUAAACGGACCCAACCCGAGGAUUAGCCGCGGAUGAAGUCAGGUCUUAUGGUCCCAAUGUUUGGGGAUAAUAUGCGCUACAUUUUCUUAUACAAUGGGAAACCUGGGAGGUGAAACCCAAAAGUGAGAGUUCGGUAGGCUAUUGGAAGAUGGCCGAAAGUUGAAUUUAAUAGUAAUCGGAAAGUAUAGCGUUCCGGUGAAAUGAUCUAGGUGUUAGCACAAAUCGCCCGUCACCUUAACUUAGGAUGAUGGUUCGGACGCCGCCGCG